rnacentral:tRNA from 1 species
UGUAGCUCAGUUGUAGAGCACUUGCCUAGCAUGCAUGAGGCCCUGGGUUCCAUCCUCAGCA